AUUGGAAAGCAUUACCUGAGAAUGCCAAUAAACUGCAUGCCUGUUGCAUAAUUUAAAAGUGAAUGAAAACUUGGCAUAUUUGAGCAUGCUCCAAAUGGGGUUUGUGUAAUGAUGUUGUUCAAAUGUCUGACCUGAAAUGAGCAUGUAGACAAGUUUUAUGCUGAAGAACCCAAGACAUACAGUUUGAAGAGAAUUGAUGACAUUUAGCAUACUAACAAAGUUCCUCAUACUUUCAUUUGUAGUUCCUGGAAACACAUUUUGAUCUGGAUAGCAUGAUUGGGUAAGACCACAAAAACAAUUUUUUAGUUCCUGAUGUCUUAGGUUUAUAGUUUUGAAACAUAAUUUUACUAAUGAAUUGUUAAGUCUAAGGAUUAUUUCUUGUUAAACCAGUAGACCAGAAAUAACUUUACUAUAUAUAAAGUAGAUUUAACAAUUGAAUAAGGGUUGCAAGUAUUUGUAAAUAAGGUAAAUAACUGUUUUCAAAGUUAGUAUGAAACUGUUGGGAAGAAGUUUCUAAAGCAAUAACUUUACAGAUUGGAGACCUGUUUUUUUUAAUAUUUUAAAGUUGUUGAUGGACCUUUAUUAUGUGGUGCUGAGAAUCGAACACAGUGCCUCAUGCAUGCCAGGCAAGCGUGCAACCACUGAGUCACAACCCCAGCCCUGAAACUAUUUAAAGGUACACAGACUCAGCUUGGGAAGCAGUGGCAAGAAGUUUUAAGCAAAGGAGUGAAGCUGGACAAGGUGUGUCUAUGAUCCUCCUAUCUACACUAUCCUGAGGGAUGACCAUCUCAUGAGCCCAGGAGAUAGUGGCCAGGAGAAGCAAUAAUGAGAACUCUUGAAUUCAUGAUUGGGGAGGUUUGCUGCAUCCUGAGAUCUAGGGCUUUUGUGGCAGCUGCAGGGAUAUCACUUAACCUUUAGGUAGCUGGAUGGAUGCUCUUUUGGGAUAGAAGAUUGAAUAUGUCAUCACUUUAAGUUUCUGAAGAGAUCUGAGUCUAGUUUUGGGCUGCGGGUUGAACCUAUGAAGUAUAUUUCAAGCAUGAUGGGGAAGGGAAUAAAGGUGCCUAAUAAAAGUCACUAAGGAAAA